GAUCAUGGCUCAGGAUGAACGCUGGCGGCGUGCUUAACACAUGCAAGUCGAACGGAGAGUCCAUGAAGGAGUUUUCGGACAACGGAAUGGAUUUCUUAGUGGCGGACGGGUGAGUAACGCGUGAGGAACCUGCCUUGGAGUGGGGAAUAACACAGUGAAAAUUGUGCUAAUACCGCAUGACGCAGUUGAGUCGCAUGGCUCUGACUGCCAAAGAUUUAUCGCUCUAAGAUGG
rnacentral:rRNA from 1 species